AACGAACGCUGGCGGCAGGCCUAACACAUGCAAGUCGAGCGAGGACUUCGGUUCUAGCGGCGGACGGGUGAGUAACGCGUGGGAAUGUGCCCUUCUCUACGGAAUAGCCCUGGGAAACUGGGAGUAAUACCGUAUACGCCCUAUUGGGGAAAGAUUUAUCGGAGAAGGAUCAGCCCGCGUUGGAUUAGGUAGUUGGUGGGGUAAUGGCCUACCAAGCCGACGAUCCAUAGCUGGUUUGAGAGGAUGAUCAGCCACACUGGGACUGAGACACGGCCCAGACUCCUACGGGAGGCAGCAGUGGGGAAUCUUAGACAAUGGGGCAACCCUGAUCUAGCCAUGCCGCGUGAGUGAUGAAGGCCUUAGGGUUGUAAAGCUCUUUCAGCUGGGAAGAUAAUGACGGUACCAGCAGAAGAAGCCCCGGCUAACUCCGUG
rnacentral:rRNA from 1 species